CCUUCCACCUCACCUCCCCUCCUCUUGCCCUCAUUCCCAUGCCCUCCCACUUCCUUCCCCACCCAUCCUUCCCCUCCCUCUUACUCAUUCUCUUCUCUACUUCCUCUCACUUCCUCUUCCCCUCCCGUCCUCCCCUGUCCCCCUCUUCAAACUUAAUUUUGGUAAAGAAAUUUUAAUCCAGCCACAUAGCUGCUCCCGCAAGGGGUCACAUCCAAAGACCUUCCGGGUCUCUGUGAUCCAGCUGGCAUGACACACCUUUAAUCCCUCUGUCUGGAAUACAGUCACUUGACAUUUCCUUAGACAUGCCUUUAAUCCCAAACAAUGACAUCGAAUUGUCAGGCAGACAAAGGGAUGAAUCAGAGAAAGAUUUGACAGAAUGAGCCAGCCAUAGGAGGUGUCUAACUCUCAUGAGAGCAAAUAGGAAAGAGAGGGGCUACCUAAGAGCAGAGCAGGGUGUUGAGUGCGGUUGGGUUGAGUUCAGUUCAGUUCAGUUCCAUCCAGUUCAGUUGAGUACAGUUGAAUUUGUGCAUAUUUAUUCAUUUCCCUUAGGUUCUGUUCAGUGUGUGCAGUCAGUGAAGUCAAUGAAGUUCAGUUUAUAGAAUUCAGAGGCAGUUUUUCCAAGCAGAACAACAAUUUAGUAAGAAGCCAAGAGAAACCAGUUUGAAUCAGUCAACUUGGAGAGGAGUUUGGGCCAGAACGGCUAAGUUGAGCCAGCCAGCCAGCCAGAGCUCAGAAAGAGGUAGAAAGAGUAAAUUUAUUCAGCAGUAAGCUCCAAGAUGGAAAUUACAUCUGGCGAAUAAAAGUUACAUUUACAAAUUCGUAUCCAUCUCCUUCCCCUCCCUCUCCAACCACUCCCCUUUUACUCUUCUUCGUUGACUCUCUACUUUCCUUUAAUUUAUACUUCUGUUCCCUUCCCCUACUCCCCAUCCCCAUCUCCUCCUCCUCUCCCUCUCUCCUCCCCACCAUUCUUCAUUCAUAUCCCCCACCCAGCUUCAAGUUCCCAUUCCUAGCUUCUGGGUUCACUAUUGAUACAGCCUUCCCUACAGAAGGAAAGUGGGUUUCUCAAGGAUUCGGUUCUCCAUUCAACUCAGGAGCACUUGGUAAAUUGCUAAGAGUUCAAGCAUCAUCCCUCCUGCAGGUGUGCUGAGCACCUGCCCUGUCUGUGCAGAAGAUUCCCACCCAUGAGUCAUACGGGAUACCCAGCUAGGGAGGACCAGAGAGAGAGAGGACGUGAAACCACCAGGGAGAUCUUGAAGCCCCAGAGAAGGAUGCAGCUGAGUAGCCUGUGGUCUAGCAGAUGGAGGAGUGGUGGUACUGAGCAGUGAGGAAUGGUUGCUCCCCAGAUGGUGGCACUGCUGUGGGAAGUUAUGGGACCUUCAGGAGGCGGAGCCUUGCUGGAGAAAGUGAGCCACCAGCACAUUCUACAAUCUCAGUGCUAGACAGGCAUGAGGAUUCCUGGGUCUGACUAGCCGGCCAGCGUAGUGGAUACUUCCCACUCCGAUACAGCGAAAGACUAUUUCUCAAACAAUGAGCCCCAGAGUCUGCUUGAGUCUGUGCUCCUCACGUCUCCUUGGCAAGGAGGGCCUACGGGAGAAACAUCCGGUUACAACACUCCAGACACAACUUUGUGUCCUCUGCUGUCCGCGGAUCAGAGACAACUUGUCCACAGCCACUCCCUGUAGCUUACUCAUCAACCACACGGUGCGGGACCUCUCUGUGCUCUCUGAAAGGCGUAGAAUGGAGCUCGCUCUGCUUUGCAGGUCUGAGCUCUCCUUAAAGCCCCCGGUACAUUGUCUGUUCGCUGUAUUAAGAAACCCCCUGCUACAUUUCUUACUCAAAAGCAUGCUCCGCCUCAGUGUCCCUCCUGACAAACCUUGACAUGCCUCUCUCGUCUCUUCCUUUUCUGAUGGAAGUAAUGUGGUCCCCAAGUUCCAAGCCGCCCCUUUCCAGUGUCCUCCCUACAAGAUCCAGACCUUACAUUUUCUCUGACAGAACUGUGCUCCUAUCCAAUCUACUGUGGUCUAAAAUAAGAACUGUGCCACACAGGCUCAUGGAUCUGCAUGCUUGGACCCCAGCCAGUGGCACUGUUUGGGAUGGUUUGAGGAGGCGGGGCCCACCUAGAAGGAGGGAGUCACUGGGGCUAGGUUCUAUAGCUUAUGAAUAACCUCUCUGACCUUUAAAUGGACUCUCCAAAAACAGGGGGCUAAAACAACCUCAUACAGAUUUGGAAGAGCACACUGGGAAGAUGGGAGGAGAGAGGCACCAUGGGUAUUACAGUCCACUCGUGAUGGGCUGGCUAUUAAAUCCACCCAUUCUACAAACAAAAUGAUUUCCUCAGCAAAUUUAAGGCCUAAUGGGGAACACGGAGUUUUCCUUUUUCAGAGGAGAAACAAAUGAACUAAUUCCCUUGGAGGGUUUUGUCUUGUCUUGGUUUCGUUCUGCUCUGAGCUGCUCUGGCUUGGGAAGCUCUUUAAGUUAAUCCUUGGAAAGACAUCCUUCUGAACCAGAGAUAGCCUCCCACCUUCCAAGGCACCCUUCCAGAGGGGAAAUUGCAUUGUGUUUGCUAUACCCUCGUCACUGCUAACUGUUAUCUGCAUCCAAAGAGGAACACAAGGCAGUUCAUAUUCCAGACGCCGGAUGUGUCACUUAUGUUUCUAAGGGCCCAGGGAUGUUUCCUUAUUGUUCGUGUGACUCUGCCUAUAUUUCAUAAACUGCUGGUGCGUAAAAUUA